rnacentral:rRNA from 1 species
UAGAGGUCCGCCUGCCUGUGACUAUAUGUUUAACGGCCGCGGUAUUUUGACCGUGCGAAGGUAGCGCAAUCACUUGUCUUUUAAAUGGAGACCUGUAUGAAUGGCAUAACGAGGGCUUAACUGUCUCCUUUUUCCAGUCAAUGAAAUUGAUCUCCCCGUGCAGAAGCGGGGAUAGCCACAUAAGACGAGAAGACCCUGUGGAGCUUUAGACACCAGGACAGACCAUGUCAAAUACGCCCUUUCAACGGAUAAGAACUCAAUGCACCCCGUCCUAUUGUCUUUGGUUGGGGCGACCUCGGGGAAACGAAAAACCCCCGCGCGGAAUAGGAGCACCACUACUCCCAAAACCAAGAGCUACCGCUCUAAUUAACAGAACUUCUGACCUUCUAGAUCCGGCUUACUGCCGAUCAACGGACCGAGUUACCCCAGGGAUAACAGCGCAAUCCUCUUUUAGAGUCCAUAUCGACAAGAGGGUUUACGACCUCGAUGUUGGAUCAGGACAUCCUAAUGGUGCAGCCGCUAUUAAGGGUUCGUUUGUUCAACGAUUAAAGUCCUACGUGAUCUG